UAGUGUAUUAUGUGGCUAGUAGGCUCCCACAACGUAUAUGAUAUAUAUUUUUUUUUUGAAGGAAACGUAUAUGAUAUAUAUAUACCUCUCCUAUACAAUUAUAUCAAAAUAAAUAAAUACCUCUCCUAUCCUAUGCAAACAAUAUCUCUGGCAAGAAGUCUAUUCAGGAACAAACGUCAAUAUAUAUGAAUCGGGAUCGCAGAUCAAAAAACACAAACCUCAUUUCCUGAAUCGCACCAUCGCUUGAGAGUGAUGACAAUCAUCCAUCUCUGACCUUAGUAUAUUCUGAUUUCUCUCUUCUCUCUCGUUUUUGUUUAUAAUCCUUAUAUUUAUCUUGCACAAUCAAUUUUAAAAAGUAAUUAGGUUUUGUUGUUUCUUAUAUUAUUUAUCGAGAUUUACACCUAACCUUUGUUCUGCAAAGAAACUUGACAGGUGACACAUUUAAGGAAAAUAAUAUACGGCUGAUGGUCAAAUAAAGAUCACGUGGGUUGGAUAUGUACCACAUAGACUUGCCCUAAGUUUGAUCAAAUUUGUUACGAUUUGAAUGUUGUCUUCAAUUUGUGUUUUUUACUUGCUAAACGCCGGCGGCGAUCCUAUUAUUUCUUGCCCUCUCUGAUGGAUUUUCUUUGAAUCGUAAUGAUGUCGGUGCUAUUAGUCCUUGCAACAACUGAUGUUGUUAUCUUAAUGAUAUCUCCAAUUCUGUUUACAGGGAUAUUUAAGAAUAGAUGAUUCGAUUUUCACACCAAAAUAGUUAUUCUAUUUUCUUGUUCUUAUUUUAAAUUUGAUUGGCUUGAUGUAGCCGGUGGAACAAUUUAAAUGAUUCCUACUCACAACCUUGUAUGUAUGGAUUUUGCUAUGUAAACUGAUAAUUAAAAAUUGGUUUCUAUAUGAAGUUACCUCCUUACCUUCUUAAAUUGAUAUCUAUGUGUUUUGCUCUUUUUUGUCGGUGCAUACUAACACAUAAUACUUUGAUAUCAUUAAGAUAUUCUAGUGGAAUAGAAUUAUUGACGGUGAUAAUUACUAUUCUGGAGACAAUAGAUUGGACUUUCAUCCUUGAUUUCAUUACUACUACAGCAAAGGUAUUGUACUUCCUAAGUAAUUUUCAGGGCCUCAAGAUUCAACAAAUGAACUCAACUUCUCCCCUACAUCAACCCGGUUAUCAUCAGUGAAAUGUAUGGCUUUCUCUCAACGCCAACGACGUCAAGAUCCAAUCAACAGAGGAGCUCAAUUCGUCACCAUCAUAGUCUUCCUUAUAAACAGGCGGAUAUCAUAUACAAUCAUGAGGAAUGAGCCCGAAUAAACGCUCAAAACAGCGAGGAUCGAAUAGCCAGAACGCCGCCUCAUUCAAAAGAAAAUUAGCAACAAGUAUAGUAAACACCGCAUGUGACAUCAAAGAAUUUGGAGCUGCACAAAACGCCCCUGGACAUAGCGGCAAUCUUGAAAAGACGACAUACUCUCUCUCGAAGUGAUUCCCCCAUCUUGAAGCAACUCUUUUUCGAAGGAAUAUCAGGUUCUAUAUAUUUUGAGAAAAUAUUCUAUUUGAUUUGAAGAAAAUUUAUCGCCUAAUAUAUGUUGAGAAAAUAUUAUGUUUGAUUAGAAGCAAAUUUAUUGUCCAAUAUAUUUUGAGGAAAUAUAAAAUCAGUUUUACCAAUGUCCAGUUCGCAAGACAACGACAAUGUUACAUCCACAGCGACAACAACAAUCAACAAUUGGGAAGUAGGCGAGCUAGUCCUAGUUUAAUAAGUAGGUGAGCUAGUCCUAGUAAGUAAAGAAAUAGCAUAAUACAACUAUGAUCAUAUUCUAUUGUAAAACAAAUUCUAUUAUUAGGACAAUUAUUUAACAGCUUUAGGUACCCCCGUGGCAGAAGUAAAGUAUAGUAUUAUUAAAAGGUCACACAUGAGGGAUUCUGGCAAGGAAAGUCUUGGUAUUUAAGAGGUCCAAGUGACCCAUCUCUCUUUCCUGGGAACCCCUUUUGUGUACCAUUUACUUUGCGAGCUGAACUCACUACUUAGUAGAAAUAGAAAUAAGAGAAUAAUAGUGCUAGACCCACGUAGAAGAAUAAAAUUGAGCAGAAGAUUUAACUUCAUAGGAGAAAGUACCAGUCAAAUUAGAAUUCAAGUUAGUGGGAAUAAGAGAAGAAGUAUGAAAUUCUGGCUACGUUAGUUUAAAAUGUUUCAACACUCGAUCAGACAGAUUCAGAUGUUUAACAGAAAGUUUGAAACAUUAAACUAACAUCAAACAUUAAAAUCAUAAAACAAGCAGAAAAGAAAGAAGGCACAGAGAUUUGUUAACCCAGUUCGGUGCAACGUCACCUACUCUGGGGGCUACCAAGCCAGGAAGGAAAUCCACUAGUAGAUCGUAUUCAACAAGCUCUCAGCAAACCACGUUUGCACUUGAUGACCUAGACUCUACCCGUAAUGACUUCAGCCUAAGAACUCCUAGACUUGAGAUCUCAUCCCACUUCCUUAUCUCUCUAAUCACAGACUCUGUGAUUUACAAAUCAAUAAUCAAAGUACAAUAGAAGUCACCUUCAAAGACAAUAACAACAUACACCUUUGUUUCACAACAUUAGUGCAGUCUUACAAUCUACCUAUCUCCUUGCUUAAAAGCUCUGGAGUAGUGCACAACUUACAACUCAAGUGACAGUCCUUAACAUGUAUCAAAUGACACACGAAAGGCUCACAAAAAAAUGACUCAAAAUCCUAGACACUCUAUUUUACUUAGUGACGGCUUGAAUGGUCUUCAGGUCUUGCAGUCCUUCCUUCUUAUACUGAAGCAAUUAGGUCAUCAUCAUUUUCGGGCUCCAGAAACAAUCAGGUGAUCAGUUACGAGUCAAUGGUCCAAAUAAGGAAACUUACCAUAACAGGCUUGGUACAUUUAAUUGGACAUUAUGAUCACCUUAAACGAUAUUCCUAAGAAGCUUGCACAAUCUCAGGAACUUAAAGUUGUUCUGAUCUUCUCCUUAAACACGCAGGUUUGACCAAUCAAAGAUUGGCAUGGACUUCCUUAAAUAGCGCAGGCGCGUGCGUAGAAGUAGGCGAGGCGCAGAACACACAGCCAGGCCUUGAUGUCGGAACAUUGUGUUCCACAUCCGAUAUGAAUAUUUGUUUUAGGCAAAAAGAAGCCAACAUACAAAUAUCCAACAAAGUAUAAAAUAAAACGAGUGAAGUGGGCGAGCUAGUUUAAAUCUAAUAAGGAAGUAGCAAGAAGACUUAGUUUCCAAUUUAAUAGAUAAGGAUUAAAAACACAAGGUUAUCAAAUAAGAAAAUUAGCAAGAGAAUGAAAAGAAUAGGAAAGGGAGUAGAAAAUAUGGGUGAGUUAAUAAGAGAAGACAAAGGGUAGUUAUUUCCCAUGAUUGCAUAUGAUUAAAGGCUCCUUUAUUUUACUAACUACUUUGAAAGUAUGUAAGAAUUGUUAUAUUUCAGAAUAAUCAAGGUUGGGAUACUAAACACGGCCACCAAAGAUCAUAUUAACAAAAAGGGACCAAACAGCACGCCAGAAAUAAAUCGCGGAAAAAGAGCACAUAAAAAAAGGUUUUAAAUUAUUGAAACUGAAAUCUAACCGAAGAGAUGUGGAUUGAUUAAAAUGAAAACCAAGACUAUAUAUCGACCAAGUUACCUAACACAAUCCAUUUUGUGCCUUUGUGGUUUAAGUUGGUUGAAUCGAGAAGGUUGAAGGAUUGACUGAAACGACGUACACCCUUAAAUGAGGCAAUCCGAAGAUGAUCAUUUCAUUUUAUGCAUAUCUAUGUACAAGUAUACAAUUUUUGUCAAUCUACGCAACAACAGACAAUCCAUAGACAAUCAUUUAAAUUGUUGCCGAUCUACACACUAAUAAUCAAUCUAGAGACAAUCAUUUUACCCUUUUUUCAUUAA